CCUACGGGGGGCAUCAGUGGGGAAUAUUGGACAAUGGGGGCAACCCUGAUCCAGCCAUGCCGCGUGUGUGAAGAAGGCCCUCGGGUUGUAAAGCACUUUCAGUGAGGAAGAACGCCUGGUGGUUAAUACCCAUCAGGAAAGACAUCACUCACAGAAGAAGCACCGGCUAACUCCGUGCCAGCAGCCGCGGUAAUACGGAGGGUGCGAGCGUUAAUCGGAAUUACUGGGCGUAAAGCGCGCGUAGGUGGCUUGAUAAGCCGGUUGUGAAAGCCCAGGGCUCAACCUGGGAACGGCAUCCGGAACUGUCAAGCUAGUGUGCAGGAGAGGAAGGUAGAAUUCCCGGUGUAGCGGUGAAAUGCGUAGAGAUCGGGAGGAAUACCAGUGGCGAAGGCGGCCUUCUGGACUGACACUGACACUGAGGUGCGAAAGCGUGGGUAGCAAACAGGAAUAGAUACCCUAGUAGUC
rnacentral:rRNA from 1 species